GAAUUUAAGCAUAUAAUUAAGCGGAGGAAAAGAAACUAACCAGGAUUCCCCUAGUAAGGGCGACUGAAGCGGGAAGUGCUCAAGAUGUGAAUCUGCGCCUUGUGCGCCGAAUUGUGGUCUGUAGACUGUGACAUUAUCUGCCGGGCCAAGUCCCUUGGAAAAGGGCAGCAGAGAGGGUGAGACUCCCGUCCGCCUGGCAGAGCGAGUCGCUAGUCAACGAGUCGAGUUGUUUGGGAUUGCAGCUCUAAGUGGGUGGUAAAUUCCAUCUAAAGCUAAAUAUUGGUGGGAGACCGAUAGCGUACAAGUACCGUGAGGGAAAGAUGCAAAGAACUUUGAAAAGAGAGUUAAAGAGUACCUGAAAUUGCUGAAAGGGAAGCGAAGGAAACCAGUGUUGGGYGUGUCAUACUUCCCUGUCUGCUUGCAGAUUGGGCGCUGUGUCACGCCUUUGGGUUGUUCUUGGUUGGGCUCGGUGGAAGAGCGCUGAGGGAGUUGACCUCGGUUGCUGGCACUGACCCUGACUGAGGAGGACGAAAUGGUUUUCUUUACCCCGUCUUGAAACACGGACCAAGGAGUCUAACAUAUGUGCGAGUAUAGGGGUGUCAAACCCCCAUGCGCAAUGAAAGUGACAGUGGUUGGACCUUUUUGGGCACAAUCCGCCGGCCUCAAUCCCUCGGGAGAACGGUCUGAGUGUGAGCAUACAUGUUGGGACCCGAAAGAUGGUGAACUAUGCCUGAAUAGGGUGAAGCCAGGGGAAACUCUGGUGGAGGCUCGUAGCGGUUCUGACGUGCAAAUCGAUCGUCAAAUUUGGG
rnacentral:rRNA from 1 species